ACAUUGACAGCUUCUUUGCAGAGGUACCUCGGUCCCUCUGCAGAAGCUGUCAGUGCCU
ensembl:miRNA